UCUCUCUCUCUCUCUCUCUCUCUCUCUCUCUCUCUCUGUGUGUGUGUGUGUGUGAGAGAGAGAGAGAGAGAGAGAGAGAGAGAGGGAGA